rnacentral:rRNA from 1 species
CCUAGGUAGGCAGCAGUGGGGAAUAUUGGACAAUGGGCGAAAGCCUGAUCCAGCCAUGCCGCGUGUGUGAAGAAGGCCUUCGGGUUGUAAAGCACUUUCAGUGGGGAAGAAAGCCUUGGGGCUAAUACCCUCGAGGAAGGACAUCACCCACAGAAGAAGCACCGGCUAACUCCGUGCCAGCAGCCGCGGUAAUACGGAGGGUGCGAGCGUUAAUCGGAAUUACUGGGCGUAAAGCGCGCGUAGGCGGUCUGAUAAGCCGGUUGUGAAAGCCCCGGGCUCAACCUGGGAACGGCAUCCGGAACUGUCAGGCUAGAGUGCAGGAGAGGAAGGUAGAAUUCCCGGUGUAGCGGUGACAUGCGUAGCGAUCGGGAGGAAUACCAGUGGCGAAGGCGGCCUUCUGGACUGACACUGACGCUGAGGUGCGAAAGCGUGGGUAGCAAACAGGAUUAGAUACCCCUGUAGUC